rnacentral:rRNA from 1 species
UACGAAGGGGGGCUAGCGUUGCUCGGAAUCACUGGGCGUAAAGGGUGCGUAGGCGGGUCUUUAAGUCAGGGGUGAAAUCCUAGGCGAGCUCAACUCCCAGAACUGCCUUUGAUACUGGCGAUCUUGAGUCCGGGAGAGGUGAGUGGAACUGCGAGUGUAGAGGUGAAAUUCGUAGAUAUUCGCAAGAACACCAGUGGCGAAGGCGGACUCACUGGCCCGGUACUGACGCUGAGGUGCGAAAGCGUGGGGA